rnacentral:SRP_RNA from 1 species
GCCGGGCGUGGUGGCUCACGCCUGUAAUCCUAGCACUUUGGGAGGCCGAGGUGAGAGGAUCACCUGAGGUCAGGAGUUUGAGACCAGCCUGGCCAACAUGCUGAAAUCUCAUCUCUA